rnacentral:rRNA from 1 species
AGGGCACCACCAGGAGUGGAGCCUGCGGCUUAAUUUGACUCAACACGGGAAAACUCACCCGGCCCGGACACCGUAAGGAUUGACAGACUGAGAGCUCUUUCUUAAUUCGGUGGGUGGUGGUGCAUGGCCGUUCUUAGUUGGUGGAGCGAUUUGUCUGGUUAAUUCCGAUAACGAACGAGACUCUGACCUAUUAAAUAGACGGUAUAUCGAAAAGUAUAUCGCACUUCUUAGAGGGACAAGCGGCGUCUAGCCGCAUGAAAUAGAGCAAUAACAGGUCUGUGAUGCCCUUAGAUGUCCGGGGCUGCACGCGCGCUACACUGAAAGAAUCAGAGUGCGCUUUGCCUAGUUCGGAAGAACUGGGUAACCCAAGUAAAUUCUUUCGUGCUUGGGAUAGGGAAUUGCAAUUAUUUCCCUUAAACGAGGAAUUCCCAGUAAAUGCGGGUCAUAAGCUCGCGUUGAUUACGUCCCUGCCCUUUGUACACACCGCCCGUCGCUACUACCGAUUGGAUGACUUAGUGA